rnacentral:lncRNA from 1 species
GUGAUAUCAGUGAUCAAUAGCGGAGUGAGAACUGCGCGACUCCAGGAGGAGCAUGCGGCUCUGCUUACUAUUCAGGCUCUGUGUGCUGUGGGGUUUCGUGGCGGUCACAUCCUCCGCCGCGACCAAGGCCGGGAGGAAAAAGGUGGCAGGCCGGAGGUCCAGGCAGGUGUUUGAGGCGGAGCCAGCAGAAGGGGUGUGGUCUGCCUGGG